CCUACGGGUGGCAGCAGUCGAGAAUCAUUCACAAUGGGGGAAACCCUGAUGGUGCGACGCCGCGUGGGGGAAUGAAGGUCUUCGGAUUGUAAACCCCUGUCAUGUGGGAGCAAAUUAAAAAGAUAGUACCACAAGAGGAAGAGACGGCUAACUCUGUGCCAGCAGCCGCGGUAAUACAGAGGUCUCAAGCGUUGUUCGGAAUCACUGGGCGUAAAGCGUGCGUAGGCUGUUUCGUAAGUCGUGUGUGAAAGGCGCGGGCUCAACCCGCGGACGGCACAUGAUACUGCGAGACUAGAGUAAGGGAGGGGGAACCGGAAUGCUCGGUGUAGCAGUGAAAUGCGUAGAUAUCGAGAGGAACACUCGUGGCGAAGGCGGGUUCCUGGACAUUAACUGACGAUGAGGCACGAAGGCCAGGGGAGCGAAAGGGAUUAGAUACCCCUGUAGUC
rnacentral:rRNA from 1 species